rnacentral:misc_RNA from 1 species
GAUGAAGAACGUAGCGAAAUGCGAUAAGUAAUGUGAAUUGCAGAAUUCAGUGAAUCAUCGAAUCUUUGAACGCACCUUGCGCUCCUUGGUAUUCCGAGGAGCAUGCCUGUUUGAGUGUCAUUAAAUUCUCAACCUUAUUAGCUUUUGCUGAUAAUGGCUUGGACUUGGGGGUCUUUUUGCUGGCUUUCAUUAGUCUGCUCCCCUUACAUGUAUUAGCCGGUGCCCCGCAGUGGAACCGUCUAUUGGUGUGAUAAUUAUCUACGCCGUGGACGUCUGCUAUAAUGGGUUUGCGCUGCUUCUAACCGUCUCUCGGGACAACACAAAUGACAAUUUGACCUCAAAUCAGGUAGGACUACCCGCUGAACUUAAGCAUAUCAAUAAGCGGAGGA